rnacentral:misc_RNA from 1 species
AGCAAGAGUAGUUGUUCAGAGAAACAUAAAAGCAAAGCGCGCCAAAUCAGUAAUAUCCUUCUAUCGAGUAUUCCACUCACGGCGACUACCAAAUCGCCAGCCCAAAACCUCCCCAGCAAUAGCAUGGGCAAGCAAAAGCAACAGGUAAUCUCCCGCUUCUUUGCUCCCAAAGCUAAAACCAAUGAUCCGUCAACUCUACCAACAACCCCUUCAUCUUCUUCGUCUCCGGCUUCAACCCCCAAAAUCUCUGCCACUGUCUCCUUCUCUCCCGCCAAAAGAAAACUCCUCUCUGCCCACCUCACUUCCACUCCAAAAAGGCCCAAACUUUCCCCUCGCACCCAAAAUCCUACCCCCACCCCCUCCGUCCACCAAAAGUUCCUCGACAAACUUCUAGAAUCAUCCCCUGAAACCUCACAGCCAUCGUCCACUCAAUCUUCAAUUCCCAAAAAGUACACCCCAUUAGAACAGC